GGGAUGACGUCAAGUCAUCAUGGCCCUUACGACCAGGGCUACACACGUGCUACAAUGGCGCAUACAAAGAGAAGCGAACUCGCGAGAGCAAGCGGACCUCAUAAAGUGCGUCGUAGUCCGGAUUGGAGUCUGCAACUCGACUCCAUGAAGUCGGAAUCGCUAGUAAUCGUGGAUCAGAAUGCCACGGUGAAUACGUUCCCGGGCCUUGUACACACCGCCCGUCACACCAUGGGAGUGGGUUGCAAAAGAAGUAGGUAGCUUAACCUUCGGGAGGGCGCUUACCACUUUGUGAUUCAUGACUGGGGUGAAGUCGUAACAAGGUAACCGUAGGGGAACCUGCGGUUGGAUCACCUCCUUA
rnacentral:rRNA from 1 species